GUGUUGAGAUUGGGAUUGGGGUUGGGACUGGGAUUGGGAUUGGCAUCGGGACUGAGGGGUUGGGAUCGGGACUGGGAUUUGCGUUGAGAUCGGGAUUGGGAUUAAGACUGGGAUUUGGAUUGGGAUUUGGACUGGGAUUGGGAUUGAGGGGUUGGGGUUGGGAAUGGGGCUGGGAUUUGGUUUGAGAUUGGGAUUAGGACUGAGACUGAGAGAGGGGCUGGGAUUGAGACUAGGAUUUGGAUUGAGCUGGGGAUUGGGAUUGGGAUCAGGAGUGGGAUUUGGAUUGAUAAUAUAAUAAAUACAACCAAACGAAGAGGCGGUGCUGCUGGAGGUGCUGCUCCUCCUUCCUGCACCACUCUUUGGCAGCUCCAAACUGCAGAGCAUCUCAGAGCUCAGUGCUGCAUUUCCCAAAGCUUUGCACUGCUCAGAGCCCACAGCAGCCUCUGCCCCCACUGCAGGUCACCCCAUGGGCCGGGGGGAGGUGGGGAACCUCUGUCUGCUGGUGGGGGGGGGGGGCCCAAUUUGCUCAACCAGAGCCACACACAAAGCCUGGCAGGAGGGGCUGAGUGCUUCGUGACCCCUUUAAUCCACAGGAUGGCUUCUCCCCGUUGCAGGGAGCAGCUGAAAGGUGAUGCUGCUGUGUCCCUGCAAUGUUGUUGAUGGCCCUGAUGUCACCACGGCCCUGCAGUAUUGAUGAGGCCCAGAGAGGUGACAUCCAGCCCCAGUGCCUCCGUGUCCCUGCAGUAUUCAUGAAGCCCGAUGAGGUGACAGCAGGCCACGUCGUCACCGUAUCCCUGCACUAUUCAUGAAGCCAAUUGACUGGGGAGAGCCACAGACAGGCAGGACACAGGGCCAGGCAGUCCGUCUGUCCGUCCAUCUGUCCAUCUGGAGGGAGCAUGGCUUUCCCACACGUUCCUGUCCCCUCCUAACCCGAGCCACGUCUGCUGGACUCAAUGAUCCUUACAGAUCCCUUCCAUCUCGAGGUAUUCCGUGAUUCCAUGACUCCGUGAUUCCAUGAUUCUGUGAUUCCAUGAUUCUGUGGGGGCUCAGCCAAGUCCUGCUGUGCCCAACAACCACCAGUAUGGCUGCACCCAACAUUAAUGGCAUAUUUUAACCCGGGUUUUCCUGGAAAGCAGGGAGGCUGUGCAAGGAAGGGAAGCUGGAAGGGACGCCACUGGGAACAGUGGGGUCCUUUAUCCUAUGAUCGCUGCUUCUGUUUUUCCACUCUCCUCUG